CCUACGGGUGGCAGCAGUGAGGAAUAUUGGUCAAUGGCCGGAAGUCUGAACCAGCCAUGCCGCGUGAAGGACGACGGUUCCAAGCGUUGUAAACUGCUUUUGUCCGGGGACAAACUCAGACACGAGUACCUGUCCGAAGGUACUGUACGAAUAAGGAUCGGCUAACUCCGUGCCAGCAGCCGCGGUAAUACGGAGGAUUCAAGCGUUAUCCGGAUUUAUUGGGUUUAAAGGGUGCGUAGGCGGCCGGUUAAGUAAGCGGUAAAACCCCGGGGUUCAACCCCGGCGUGCCGCUGAUACUGGUUGGCUUGAGAGUAGGAGCGGUAGGCGGAAUGUGUGGUGUAGCGGUGAAAUGCUUAGAGAU
rnacentral:rRNA from 1 species